rnacentral:rRNA from 1 species
UGGCGGCGUGGNUAAGACAUGCAAGUCGAACGCGAUUUUCUCGGUUAGCAAUUACUGAGAAAAUUGAGUGGCGAAUGGGUGCGUAACACGUGGGAAUUUAUCCGGAAGUGGGGGAUAGCUUGCCGAAAGGCAAAUUAAUACCGCAUAUGCCCGUAAGGGCAAAGUGGGGGACCGCAAGGCCUCACGCUAUCGGAGGAGCCCGCGCCCUAUCAGCUAGUUGGUGAGGUAAUGGCUCACCAAGGCUUAGACGGGUAGCUGGUCUGAGAGGACGACCAGCCACACUGGAACUGAGACACGGUCCAGACACCUACGGGUGGCAGCAGUCGAGGAUUUUUCUCAAUGGGGGCAACCCUGAAGGAGCGACGCCGCGUGGAGGAUGAAGGGCUUCGGCUCGUAAACUCCUGUCACCGACGAACAAGGCAUCCGGAUUAAUAAAUCGGAUGCUUGAUGGUAGUCGGAGAGGAAGGGGCGGCUAACUCUGUGCCAGCAGCCGCGGUGAUACAGAGGCCCCAAGCGUUGUUCGGAUUUACUGGGCGUAAAGGGUGUGUAGGGGGUCGUGUAAGUUUGACGUGAAAUCCCGUUGCUCAACAACGGAACUGCGUCGAAUACUGCUCGGCUGGAGGUUCGGAGAUGAGGGCGGAAUUCUCGGUGUAGCGGUGAAAUGCGUAGAUAUCGAGAGGAACGCCGAUGGCGAAAGCAGCCCUCAAGACGAAAUCUGACCCUGAAACACGAAGGCCAGGGGAGCAAACGGGAUUAGAUACCCCGGUAGUCCUGNCAGUAAACGGUGCUCAUUAGAUGUAGGCGGAUUCGACCCCGCCUGUGUCGAACCUAACGGAUUAAAUGAGCCGCCUGGNAAGUACGGUCGCAAGAUUAAAACUCAAAGAAAUUGACGGGGGCCCGCACNAGCGG